rnacentral:rRNA from 1 species
GCGAAGGUGUGGUGUAAACCAUGCUGGAGAUAUCAGAAGUGCGAAUGCUGACAUGAGUAGCGAUAAAGGGUGUGAAAAGCACCCUCGCCGAAAGCCCAAGGUUUCCUGCGCAACGUUCAUCGGCGCAGGGUGAGUCGGCCCCUAAGGCGAGGCCGAAAGGCGUAGUCGAUGGGAAACGGGUCAAUAUUCCCGUACCGAUCACAGAUGCGAUGAGGGGACGGAGAAGGUUAGCUCAGCCGGGUGUUGGAUGUCCCGGUUUAAGCGUGUAGGCGUGCUGCAUAGGCAAAUCCGUGCGGCUUAGCUGAGGCGUGAUGACGAGGAACUUCGGUUCUGAAGUGAGUGAUACCCAGCUUCCAGGAAAAGCCUCUAAGCUUCAGUCUGUGAUUGACCGUACCGCAAACCGACACAGGUGGGCAGGAUGAAAAAUUCUAAGGCGCUUGAGAGAACUCAGGAGAAGGAACUCGGCAAAUUGAUACCGUAACUUCGGGA